CGCUAGUAAUCGUGGAUCAGAAUGCCACGGUGAAUACGUUCCCGGGCCUUGUACACACCGCCCGUCACACCAUGGGAGUGGGUUGCAAAAGAAGUAGGUAGCUUAACCUUCGGGAGGGCGCUUACCACUUUGUGAUUCAUGACUGGGGUGAAGUCGUAACAAGGUAACCGUAGGGGAACCUGCGGUUGGAUCACCUCCUUA
rnacentral:rRNA from 3 species